rnacentral:tRNA from 1 species
AGAAAUUUAGGUUAAAUAUAGACCAGAAGCCUUCAAAGCUCCUAGUAAGUUAAACUACUUAAUUUCUG